rnacentral:rRNA from 1 species
UACGGGGGGGGCAAGCGUUGUUCGGAAUUACUGGGCGUAAAGGGCGCGUAGGCGGUGCUCUAAGUUAGAUGUGAAAACUCUGGGCUCAACCCAGAGCCUGCAUCUAAAACUGGAGUGCUAGAGUUCUGGAGGGGGUAGCGGAAUUCCUGGUGUAGCGGUGAAAUGCGUAGAUAUCGUAAGGAAGACCAGUGGCGAAGGCGGGUCUCUGGACAGUUCCUGACGCUGAGGCACGAAGGUCAGGGGAGCAAACGGG